UACGGAGGUGGCGAGCGUUGCUCGGAUUUAUUGGGUGUAAAGGGUCUGUAGGCGGUCUUGUAAGUCGGGUGUGAAAUCCCACUGCUCAACAGUGGAACUGCAUUCGAAACUGCAACGACUUGAGUCAGGGAGAGGAGAGGGGAAUUCCCGGUGUAAGGGUGAAAUCUGUAGAGAUCGGGAGGAACAUCAGUGGCGAAGGCGCCUCUCUGGCCCAUGACUGACGCUGAGCGACGAAAGCUAGGGGAGCAAACAGGAUUAGAUACCCCUCGUAGU
rnacentral:rRNA from 1 species